UUUUUUUUUUUGCUAAUCUAUGCAUAAAAUAGAUAUGAAUGACAGUGGUAGGUAGACUUUUUGUGACUUUCAUCAGGAUUGCUCUGAAAUUGAGUUUGGAGAGCCUAACAACAAGAUCUUGUUUUCCUUGCUUUUCCCUCCCUACUUCAAACCUGAACGAUUUCUUAGGCACUUUAUUAGAAUGUUUUAAAAUAUAUCAAGUUUUUAAGAGGGAGGAGGAGAAUUGGAGUAUCUCUGAAAACAUGAGAAUGACAAGAAUUUCUUGUUACUAUUCUCUUAUUUGAUUAAGGGGAUUUUUUUUUUUUAACUUCCAAAAACUGAGGUAAACAUGAGAGGGAGUGUAAUCAGAAUCUGAAAGUAAUUCAGGCAGAAAUGAUUCCUGAACAAAAGAGUUUCAGAAAAGUUUUAAAACCUAUAAUUUCAGUAGUUGAACAUAAGGCACCCUGGUCAGUUUGUGUGUAUGUGUUUAAGAAAGUGCCGAGGGGGAAAAAAUGGGUCCCUUUUCAGUUGUACCUGCAUUUUGUAAACCAGUCACCAGAAAAGACAAAUGGGCCAAUGAUCAUGGUGCUCCUCAGGUAAAAGCAAUAUUUAAUUUCAUUUUAAGCUGCUUAAGCUCUUACAGCUGACCAAAAUUAAGUGACUCUUGAUUGUAACGUUUUAAAUGAAGGUUAGCAGUUGCAACCA
rnacentral:lncRNA from 1 species